UGGGGAAUAUUGCACAAUGGGCGCAAGCCUGAUGCAGCCAUGCCGCGUGUGUGAAGAAGGCCUUCGGGUUGUAAAGCACUUUCAGCGGGGAGGAAGGCGUUAAGGUUAAUAACCUUGGCGAUUGACGUUACCCGCAGAAGAAGCACCGGCUAACUCCGUGCCAGCAGCCGCGGUAAUACGGAGGGUGCAAGCGUUAAUCGGAAUUACUGGGCGUAAAGCGCACGCAGGCGGUCUGUCAAGUCGGAUGUGAAAUCCCCGGGCUCAACCUGGGAACUGCAUUCGAAACUGGCAGGCUAGAGUCUGGUAGAGGGGGGUAGAAUUCCAGGUGUAGCGGUGAAAUGCGUAGAGAUCUGGAGGAAUACCGGUGGCGAAGGCGGCCCCCUGGACAAAGACUGACGCUCAGGUGCGAAAGCGUGGGGAGCAAACAGG
rnacentral:rRNA from 1 species